GAAUUAAAUAAAAGACGUCUUUAUACGUCUGGUAAUGUAAUUAUCAAUAUAAUUCAAUUUAAUGCAUAAAAAUAAUUUUUUAAAUAAUUUUACCUUUCAAAAAUCUUUCUGUUGAUCAACGUUAUGCAAAAUUACGUACACCAAAUAACGCAAGAACCAUUAUCGGCAUUCGUCGGCUAAAUUCGUCGAGCGCUUUUUGUACCAUAUGCAGCUGCAAUUAAGAGUCUCGGAAGUUUAAGUCGUGAAGUGCCAAGUACACUCCGUGCACAAUUUUCCUUGUAUCGUGUUCUGGCGAGGAAUAACUUCCGGGGUGAAAUAGCGAAAUAGCGUGUUCGUUAAUUGCAAUUAAUGUGCAGUUAUCGACUAAAAAAAAAAUGCUUCAUAAAAAAUAAUAAAACUAAAAUGCAUGGACGUAUAAUAUUCCUCUAUAAUUUUUACUACAUUAUAACUUUACAUUUAGUCGCAGUUAAUAAUUUUUCCAAAACGAAAGGUGCGCGAAAUGAAUAUUGCACUUGAGAAAUACGGAUCUUACAUUCCUACUUCCGCACGAUCGUUCGCCAUAUAGUGCAACGGACCCAAAGGGGCAAUGUUCUUUUCGUAUUGAGUUUAACGCGCUCCGGGCACCGUUAUCGGAUUGCACUCGAUCGGGACUGCGGGUGCAAUAGCAAUUAAGGUGUGCAGCGAUGGCGAUUGAGUCCCCUGUCCGUCGCGGCUGCCCGACCUGUGCCGGCCUUUUUCCACUGCGCCGCGACGUUAACGCGAGGUAAUUCAGCGAGCGGGACGAGAAAUUUUGUAUCGACACACACUACACGGGGCGGCGUUCGAUCGACGAGUUACGAGCCGGUAGUACGAUCGAUCCUAUCACGUUACACCGAGACUAACGGAGACGAAUGGCCGCGGUCGAUCGGGAGACGUCCUGACUUUUAUCCUCGCCGCGCAAAUGGCAGCUUAUCGAGUGCACGAGUAUCGUAAUUUUCUGCUCGCUGAUGGACGGGUUCGAUUUAGGGAAAUGGCGGGAAAUGCAUGAUGUAAGAGCAGCGCAGAUAAAUUGCGUUUUAUCGUUAAACAUGGGGACAUACUUGACGAAUGUGCGCGAAACAAAUUAAAAUGCCGAAUGAUAUAAUUCUGAACGUAAAUGAUAAGAAACGUAAAAUGGGAAAAAUUGAAGACCCACGUAAUUACGAGAAUAAAUUUCUUUUUUCCUGUUUUUACCAAUCAGCAAUUUCUUCUUUUAAUCAUCGGGAUAUCCCGCGAAAAUGUCUUAUCUCGGGAGAAACAUUUUCCUUUACGAACCACGGCGAGCGCGCGCAGCUGCUGAUGGUAUUCCCGCCAUUAAAAUUUAAUAAAGACAUCAAAACGCUUCCGUCUCUCUACCUCCGCUCGAAUAUCGCAUUCAGGAUAACGGGCUGCGAUGGUUUUUGUCGGUUCGGCGCUGACGCCUCUCCUCGCCGCCGUCGGGUUUUGAAAAUGGCUUAGACUGGAAUUUAAGCGCAGCCAAAUAAGCUGCCCGGUUCAGGGCAGCGGUCGUUCCCGGAUAAUGCGAUUUAUCGGCGUUCUGCGCAAUGCAGCGAAAACGGGCGAUGAAUAUCCGAACGGAGAUCGGACGCGGGAGGAAGAGAGAGAGAGAGAGAACGGGUUGAGCUACCAUGGAAUUGAUCGACGAAAAGGAGAAAUUCGACCCUCGAGCCAUUUUCGUACGAGCGUGUACGCCCCGAGCUCCUAGCGUGCGAUAUCUUCGAAGAAUGCAUUUCGUGCAGCCUUCGUACGAACGGUUACUAUCCUAUUUCCCUGGAAUUUUCGUUGUGUUGACUUUAUUAGCUAAAUUAGCCUUUAAUGAAAGGACUAGACGUAGCGAGUAAACGUUGCAAUGAAUUAUCAAAGCUAAACGAUAAAAUAGCGUGAUUAUUAAACACGGAAAGAUCAAAUUUAUUAUCUAACAGUUUCGGUACAAACCAGAAAAUAAAUUCCAUGUUGAACCAUCAAAAUAAUUACGUAGAACGCUCAAGCACGAUAUAACAUUGCUGUACAAAGUUUCGACACUCUAGCAACAGUUUGAACGUUCAAUAUAAUUUUUUAAUAGUCUCAUGUAACGUUUAACUCUGUGUUUCAGUAAUAAAAAUUGUUCUUUCCAUUUAUAAAUAUACAUCCUUGAAUUUGUGUUUUAUAUUUCCUUCCUUUUAAACAUUCAUAACAUAAUGAUGAAUAUUUGAGAUGAUUUAUGUAGUUCGACACCGCUGCUGUUCCAUCAUUCAUUGUUAUCAACGUCAAAUACCGUGAAAAUGUAACGAGAGAAGCUCGAUCCCUCAUUUUUUCGAAUGUACGUAUUCACGAAGGGCCAAUGCACAUUUGUACAAUAUUGCAGCUUAAUUUAAUUCCCGCGCGAGAGCGCGGAAAAGCGCUAGUUAUCUGCCAGUUUCUGCCGUUUAUUAUUCACGAGUUAAGCGAGUCCGCGAUACUUCUUUCCCGUGACGCCACGGCGCAAUACAAGCACUUUAAUAACGGCGUUGCCCCGUUUUCUCCCUCUUCCUCUCUCUCUCUCUCUCUCUCUCGCCUUCUCUCUGUUUCCCUCUGUUUGCAUGGCCCUGCGGAGCGACAGAGUGCAGCCGAUCCCGUGCCUACACCCAGCCAUUUGCAUAAAACAGGUCGCUAUUUAUCGCCUCCUUGGAAUAAUGAAACUUUACCGGAAGCGAUUCUGUCGCGUGCGCCUAUUCUGCGGAACUAUUACGGAGUAUUUGGUACGGCACGAUUCGCCGUACCGUAGGAACGGCAUGAAAGUAACACGGUCGACGGUGGAAAACAAUUUGCCCUGGCUGCGUGCAUUAGCGCGUUUUGAGAAACGCCCGUUAACACAGCACGAAGAAACGGAAAAUGCGAGAAACCGCUCGCGGAAACUAUCGAGUCAAGUGAGCUUACAUUUUGAGAUUAAAACAGAGCCGGUAAAAACUUUAAAGACCCCCUUCUACAUGUGUUAAUUGCAGCGCAAAAAAAAAAUAUCAACAAAAAAAAUCCUGGGUUAUAUCGAUUGUUUUGCAAUUGAGGUAGCUUAUAAAACGUAAGUAUGCUGGCGCACGGACGGAAAAUCAGGAACGAUCGCGAUGGCAUUUUGCAGCUCGCUCGAACCAGGUUAAACGAAACGUCGACGGAACGUUUCGCGUUGGCCUCUCAACGACGGUAUUUUAAUAACAAGCCCUGCCACGUUCGGUCUCUCGCAUGUUCGUCCGUAGUACACGGUACAGUUGCGUCACGCCGCCGCCGUCGUCGGAGACUCCCCGCCGGCCUCUCUGCCUCUCUUUCCUCUACGACGAUGCCCCGGCGAUUUGCAUGAAAUUGGAGACCCUACGGCGAGGCGGCCGGCACGUAUACGCCGAUCUCUCGUUAGAAUGGAAAUCGGGGAUUGAAAUUUUCAGUGGCGCCCAAACGCGGCGGGCGGCCGUACGUGUUUCACGCGGCGCGCGAUUAUCCGACUUUGGCGCGAUUCGGGUUUGCCUUCUCGAGUGUACGCGAUGAAGAAUAAAACAGGUCUGCUCUCUAGGAAAUUUCGGCGGAUCUGACGUGCCAAAUUUUUCCGACCCCGUCGUCGCCGGAUAAGACGCCUCCUAAUCCGCCUCGUGUUUAUCGGCACCGUAUUUCGCUCUCUCCGGAAAGAAAGAAGCGGCUGGAGAAAAAAGAAACUUUUCGACAUCGUGACUUUCUUCCUUUCUUUCGAGCAAGAACUUCGUAAAUCUGUUCUUUCGUAGAGUUGUUCUCUCUUUGCGCGCUUCUAAUCGUUUUUAAGUGAGUACGAUUUUGUCAAGGCAUCUAAAAAUUUAGUUAAAUACAGAUUUGAAAAUAAUUUUGUCGGACGAUCAAACAUCGCUGCGAAAAUUUUUACACCAUAGCAAUUCAUUUGACCAUCCUCCAUAUAAUCUAACAAUUAAAAUUAUUUUCAGAUCUGUAUCUAGCAAAAUUGUUCGCCCCGCGUGUAGAAACGUUAGGGCGGACGUGAUGAACUUCGAUGCGGUAAGAGUGACGAUGUAACGACGUCGUGUUUUACACUUGAUAGUCGUGUUAUACAUCGUGUGAUACGAUUUAAUUAUAUUAGAGCGCUUGUGUGAUACCGUUUCGUCAGCCGCGCUGUUGCAUUUCCUGUGCGCGGAGCGUAAACCAGGGAAUAUUCCGCCGCAAUUUCAACCGUACGUCUCGCGCACGGCUUAGAAAGUCGUUGCUGCGACAUAAAAUAUAAAUGCGUAUCGAUUUUACAUCCGCGGGAAUACAUGCGACAUGAUGUCACAGUGAAUAGUUACGUUUCUCCCCCCUGUGCCUGCAACUGCAUUACGUCUCCGACAAUGUUUCCAUUUGUAUGGUGUAUUGCCGAAGACGUAUUCAAUACCAGAUGCAUUCCGAAUCGAAUAAAAUGUGCCUGGCGUUGCGCGCGAUUCCGCGAACCACGGCGAUAUGCAAUGCCAUUAUUAUACUCGGUCGUGGUUAAAAGGGAGAUCUUUUCCCCCUCAUUUAAUUCCACAUCCGCGAGUAUAAUCGAACGGGAAAGGUUGCGCUAAAUUUCAUUUGAGCACAGAGCGAGAAUAAAUUGCCAAUUUAUCACAUGCGCGACCGCGGAAAGAUUCGUUCGACGGAAGGGAAAAGAGAAAGAGGGAGAACGAUCGAUCGAUAAUCCCUAAUGAUCGUUCGAUCUGCAGCCGCGAAUAGCCACGUUGAAACUUUUAUCAAGCGUUAGGCGACGUGGAGUCUCUACAUAAAUUCAGCGACGUAUACGCCGGUGCAUGUGCAACGGCACCGGGGGAACGCCGCAUUAUUUAUACGCUCGCGUUCGACGUUACGCCAACGUCGGAGAUACUCGCGGCCCAUAAGCUCGCUCGCGUGUGUCGUCUCGUAAACGCCGCUCGCAAGCACGCACACACACACACACACACACACGCACACAAUGCCACAAAGUGGGAGUCUCUUAUGAUCGCGCGAGGACUUGGAACUCGUUGCCCCGAAAGUGACGUACGCCUUAACGGCGGCGUGGCAUUUAUCCUCCGCGCGGUGGAAUCUUGCAACGGUUUAUAUCCCGGUUGUAUCGCGUGUCUCGCAAAUUCGGCUGCGUUUUCCCCCCGUUCAUAAAUUUAUUGAGAAAUACUUCCGGCCGCUGUUUGUCCGACUGUGCCGCCUCUCCAUUCCGGGCGCUCUCUCGGAACGUCGCGGGUGCCGUUCGGGGUCUGACUAUUUAUCGAUUCGUACCACUUCCAUCCGCACCGCGGAUUCAUGCGCGAUGAAUAAAAGAGAAGGAAGAAUGACGGGCACACAAAUAUGAUCUCAACCUCGCCGAGAGAGAACGCUCGGAGCGAACGAGUCCACGUCAGGUAUCUACGGCGGAUUUUUAUCGCGAUGGCGGCAACGAAUUGAAUUUGAUUUUAAGAAUUUAACGGCCGUGUCUGCCUUAAUCGAACUACAUUGGCGUAAAGAUAGUUCCCUUUAUUCGCGUGAGAAUUCAAUUCGCGACUUGGAGAUGUAAACAAUUUAUAUAUCCCUCUCUCGGGUAUGUAAUCAAUUUUAGUUGGUUCACUCGUCUCGGAGAGCUAAAGAUAGACGAACGACACAGCCGUUAUAUUGAGAAUCUUUUGUUAUCUAUUGAAAGCUGUUAUAUUGAAAAUCGACGAAACGUGCCCGAGUUUAUUCCGGUCGUUCGACCCCUCCUCUCUCUUCUCUUCUUUCAGUUUACUCGUGCGACUUUCAACGCGUGAUCGACGGCGACGUCGCGGGACGAAAUUUCAAGACCUCGGGUCGCCUCGUAGGAAGAUAAAGACAGUCAAGGAGCUGUCGUUGGGGGUACGUUGCAGGUAACGACGUUAGGAGAUUACGGCGCGGCGUUGACAACGGCGACGUAGUCUAUCAUAAAUUUCCAGGUCGUAUACUCCGCCAGACGGGACGUGACAGGCUUGAAGGAUACUACGCGCGAGUGUAUAAAAAUUCUAGAGUGCGUCACGCGUGGGUGAUCCUAGAUUCAAUCGCGUUUAAAGAUGACUUCUUUAAAAGCGUCAUUCCACCCUGUUUGAAGUAAACGCAGUGUAUUCUGUGUAUCACUUGUAUAUAAAAGUCUAUCGUUACGAUGAUUUAUUGAUAUUUGUAUUAUAUUAAAUAAUGUUAUCUAACAAUGUACUCAAGAAUCUGCGAUAAAUCUGCGCUUUCGCUUAGAUUUUAAGAAUUAAUUAAAUAAAAUUUAUUAUUAUUACGUAAUUAAAGCAUAACUCUCCGGAGGCAAGCUCGCGCGGAUUUAUUAAUUAAACAUAUUACGUAAUAAAAUAUAAAAAAAUGGAUUUCUUUUAAUUUCUGAUGUUUGAAAAUUAUUUAAUUUUUAAAACAGUCUCAGUUUAUAAUAAAAGAAAAUAAAAUUAUGGUCAAAAGUCACUUAAAAUGUAUUUCAGAGUAUUUUUCAAGAAAUGAAUUUAAUGAAAAUAAUUGUCAUGGAAAUGCAAGUAAUUAUAAUUAUUUCUGCUUAAUAAUUUUGGAAGGAAGUCGCUCCUUCGCUUAACAUCGCGCCACGAGAUGAAAAUUGCACCGAGUUUCUCUCAACGCGCGAAGUUAGAACGUGUCGGAGAUCGCGGGGAAACACUCCCCUUCCGUACAUCUCGUUCGUGAAAACGAGCGUGGCAAAACCAUGGAAGGAGGUGUCAGAGGUAGCGGCGCACUUUCCUUCGGUAGGACCUCACGUGGAGGGUUGCGGUCGCAGGGGUGCCACGGAGACGGAAACGAAAGAGAAGGCGACGGAGGGUGAAGUCUCUCCGUCGAGGAGAGAAAGCGCGGGAGAAAGGAAAGGAGACCGAGAGAAGGGAGACGGAGAAAGGGAGGGGGAGGGAUGAGCUUUCCUCUAAAGAAAAGCUGCCCUAACAAAGGCGCCUUAUUUCACGCCCAAUGUAUCCCGCCUCAGACACGAUCGUUAAGAUACCUAUCCCUGCGAGGUGCGAGCUGUUCCUCCAAGCUCCUUUCCACACCCCACGAGUUUCCUUUCUCUUUGAGACCCUCGAGAACGGCGCGUCGUUCCUUAUAGGUUUAUGCCUUCCCGCCUGCAAAGCGUCCGCGCGACGAGGUAGUCGGAAUAGCGACAAUUCUUUAAUUUCACCUGACAUUUCAGGAAUCGGAAACCCGCCGAUUUGUUUAAAUCAAAUGAUCGCUCCUUUUUUUCCCUCGGCAAAAUUUGCCUUUCUACAAUAAAGCUUUCUAAGCCAUCAUAAACUCUUCUUCGAGGACAGCUGUGGUAUUAUUAGAGAUUCCGGUGAUCUCUGACCCGUCAAAGUAGCUCAUCGUUAGCCCUCGAUAAAAAUAAAAGAAAAGAGAAGAAAAUGGACCUAAUGGUACGAAGAUGAGAAAUGGACGGUUAUAGCUGAUAAAAAAACCUUAUUGCGACACUCUCUCUCUCUCUCUCUCUUUCUUCCCCUCUCUUUCGCUCUCGCCCGGAGCCUGUGUCCGAUAUAGUGCUGUGGGGUGUUUCGCAAUUCGCACUCGACGCCGAACAGCGCUCCGUUCCUUAUGGGCUUAUGCUUCCUGAAUGGAGCUGAGCCCGGGGGACUUUAUCGGAAUAUCGGUCGACAACGUCGUUACGAGAGGCGUCGCUUUGUGCAGUUGGCGCGAUUCUGCCCGCGAGGGCUGUUCGCGAAUACUUCGCGCAUAUCGCUACCGUUCACCAAGGGGGUCGUACGGGGGACGAUUAUAGCGCGAUAAUAAAAAACGAAGAGAGCUGGCUACUCCCUCGCCACGAUAGAUCGCACCCGCGCGAAGCGAAGAGCAAAGAAGCGCAGCUGCAUGAAGUUAUCCGCGGUAUUGCGCGGAACGAGACACGCGACGAGCGACACGAAAUUUUCUCUUUACGAGCGGGACAGACGUCGACGUCGUGUAUUUCUUGCUUUCUUUUUUUUUUUGUUCAUUUUACAUCAUAGUCCCGAAAUACGGCUCCUUUUUCGGAAAGGCGCGUCAUAUCUCGCGCGACGCUCCGCGCAUGGGGCUGAUUUACGACGAACUGUAAAUGUAAGUUUGACAGCGGGUUUUUAUCGAGGGACUAACGGCGAGAGAGAGAGAGAGAAAGAGAGAGAGAGAGAGAGAGAGAGAGAGAGAGAGAGAGAGAGAAAGAGAGAGAAUGAUUACCCAGAAAUGAGAGCAAAGGGACGUGUACAAAAGAGGGAAGGAUGUGAUAUAAGUGAAUAUGGAUGGUGAGUGGUAACUGUGUUUUGCCGCAGGCCAGAUAAGCUGUCAGCUACCGAUGGAGAUUGAUGCGUCCCACAUUAAUCUAUAGCUUGUCUGCCCUAUUUUUUCCGUCGCUACUAACUAGAUCUACUCUUUCGUUGGAUGAAAAGUAAAUACGCUCGAUCAUAUUUUAUUUCCAAGACCUCACUUACUUAGUCUCUGCACUAAAUGAAUAGAAUUUUUCACUGAGUGAAAAAUAUUUCUUUUCGCCAAAAAAAAAAAGCAGAUGCCUGAAACUUUACGCGACUAUGGCUACGGUCCACUUGACGCUACAAACAUUUCGAAGCAUUCUUUGAUUGGUCAAUUCGUAAAAUUCUUUAUUUCGAUUGGUCAAUCAAACGUUUCGAAGCAUUCGUAGCGUCAAGUCGACCGCAGCCUAUGAAAUUUAAACGGCUCGUUCUUUCUUUAUUAUUUUAGACGUGUAAUCUUUGCGAUGCUUCUCAGUCUGUUUUCGUUUCAUUCGCUGGUAUCUAAGUAGCCGAAGAGAAGUUCGUCGUGGAAUUACGAAGAAAGCGUUUAAUUUAAUUUCAAGAGGAAUGGCGCGCGAGGGAGGGAAUUAUCUUAGGCGUCGUAGCGCGCCGUAACUUUUGUUAUCAUAACGGAAACUAGUGAUGCGAAAUCGCGAGAGUCGCGACAUAACUCAGCCCCGUGCACACACAUUCAGCCCGAUAACCUCGUUUCGCGCGUUAUCAACGCUUCCUUUCUCGCGUGAAAAUUUCCACUUUUCAUCGGCGGUGCCUUGCGAUGAAACGCGAUUUACUCUACGACUUCGUACCGGUUUUGAAUUUCAUGAGAAUACGAGCGAGUAGCGAGUUCUCAUUGAAAGAAGGAGAAAAAGAGAGAGAGAGAGAGAGAGAGAGAAAGCGAAAGAAGGGAAAUGCACGCGGCGUUUUACCUGAAUUUUUAGAGCAAUGCGGAAUUAAAACGACUUUUAAUUGGCGGCAGCGCGGCGCGCCUUUGCAGACUUCUAAUUUUUUAAUUCGGCUCUUUGUGCGCUCGUAGACUACCUUUUUAUUCGUCGACGAAGAAAAUGCAUUUUCUCGUUAAUAUUUCUUUGCUCUUUGCCGAGACCGCUCCGGCGAAUAUAUGAAGAGGGUUAUCCGGCUAUUAAAAACGUAACGACGCUUUCAUAAUGAAAUCCCGUACUUUUUUUUCCGGUAUUAAACGAUUUCUUUCUGUACAUCACAAUUUUCCAAGCGCAGUCGCUUAUUUAUUCCUACGAAGCCAGAUGAGAUUUGCGCAAGAAGCUAUCUUCUAACAUAAAUUAAUGGUGUACAUGAUAAUCCUAUCUAUUUAAAAGCUUUCGUGGAAAAAACUCAGCAAAGCUGUAAUACGCUACGCAAAUUUAAGUCUAUAAAGCAAUUAUAAUAGUUUUUAAAUAUAAUUUCUUUACUAUACCAUGAAAUAUGUCGUAAAUGUUAAUUUUGCAUAACGAGCCAUAGCUUUGUUGCCUUUCUUCUGUGUUAAAAUACAGACAACUUUUUCGGUACUGUGUAUUCAGAGCAAUUAUAUCUUCUGUGCUCUUGCAACAUAAUCUAAUUAUCCAAGCUCUACUCUGUGUACGUUGUGUAAUAAACUCUCGAAUGGCAGCCAAAGUUUGGCGCAUGGAGGGUUCGUUUCAAAGAAACACGCUUUUUCUUUCCCUCCACGUAACCGGUAAGUUUCCCCUCGCGCAUUUUGCCGGCGACGUAACCCGUUUGGUCUCCGGGACGUCACCUCCGCCCUAUCGCGAACAAGGUCGGAGGUUGUAGAUGGCGAAUCGACAGAGGUAUGAGAGAUAGCGCCCGGGCCCGAACAAAGUUUGUCGCAAGUUUAGAUUGAGUUCAAUCUCCGUGCACACACAUACACAUCCGCACACGCACGCACAACACAAAUGCAUACACCGUGCCGCCACCUUCCUCGCACCUUCUAGCCUAUCGUGACUCAACCGCCGUGCUGGUCCUUUCUCGGCUCCUUGUACCCCAGUACGGCUAGCUUAUCGCCUAAUAUCCAACCGGAGGUGGAAAUGUCGAGGCGUUUCGUGCCCACCGUCGUCUCUCGAGUUCGCGCUUCUAUGCCUUCUGGCCCUUUCCGCCCGCCCUCCUCCUCUCUGAAGGUGACAAAGUAGCCGUCCAAAGGCGGAAUUGUGCGGCGCGGUCAUAAAGUUUUCUUCUUUUUCCUAGAAACUAUUGACGCCCGGGAUGCUUAUCGGCGAAAGCGGUUUAACGUCACCUCUCGGCCACGUUUAACGAGCCCCUCGCGAGGGCUCAAUGCAACCGCGGCGGUUGCUGAUGGUGCGGUUUGCUAAUGCAUUUCGGGGAUUGCAUUGUACCUACAUUGCGUGUGGAAAAUUGACAACUUCUCGAGAAUAUGUAGAAUGUGUAAAACUCUAUAAUUUUAAUAAUAAAAACUCGAUAAUAUCAAUGACAUUUGUAAAUAAAAAAGGUGUGUAAAAUCUGCCGUAGAAAAAGUUCGAAUAUUGAAUCUUACUCGGUGAAAAACCGUUUUCCUUACGCUCGUAAAGUCGUCGCACGACUCGGCGUAUCUUAAAAAAUAAAACCGCAAUUUGUUUAUCCGCCACGCACGUCGAACGCGCGGGAAUGAAAUUACCGAUUCGCUCGAACAUCGGUGCAAUCGUGGAGCUAUAUUCCGGAUGUGUCAAGCGCCUAACGACGUAACGUUGCGUACGUUAAGAGCACAUCACGUAAAUCAGGUUAACGUGGUACCGCUAUGAAAGCCUUCGCCGGCUCGUCGUCGGUGAAAUUCGCCUUUCGCCCCUCUCCCUUCCGCUCCGCCGUGCCCGUAAAAUUCGAUCAGGAACGCCGUAUUCUCGUUGGCUGAUGGCGUCAUUACCUUACUUCGCCAUUUUGCCGACAACACAGCGAACAAGGGAGCUACACGGCGGAGGAAACGAGUCGCGCGUUUCCCCCUAGGAAUUUUGUGGGAUGAACUUUUUCGCGUGUAUCACGUUCAAUGGCGGACAGAAAUGUUUCUAAUAAUACUUUUAUUUCACUGGUAUAUGUACCAUUCGUGCGUUCGCCGUGAAAUAAAUUCUAGUUUAGCUUCCUGGAGCUUGGUUUUAAGCCCAAAGUGUCGUCCUACAUUUCUAAAUCGCGCGGCUGACUUUGGAUUCUUCUCUAACGCACGUUGUCGCGCAUUACGCUAAAAGCGUAAGGGAAUAAGCUUGAAGAAAAAUAUAAAAGAAUGGAGAUUGACGAUCCAGAAAGACAAGACACUAUUGAGAAGAAGUAACGCGGUGCGGAGGCAACCAGACGUUGGGCGUUUCCUUAAUUGCAUUUUUAUGCUCGCCCGGAUUUCCGGGUCGGCGAAAAAGGUCCGAGGGUCCACAGCGAAGAAAGGAGUUUAUUUUACCGAAGGCGGAGAAACUCCCUCUCUCACGAGUCCGCGGUUAACCAUUAGUGCGUCUUGACUCGAAAUAAACGGAAUCGACGUGCGACGUGAUCUUUGCUGGGUCGGAGAAUUUCGAGCACAUAUAAAAUAUUCGUUUAUAAUGAUCGAUAAAAGAACAAGAAACACGAAAGAUAUUUUUAUAUUAGUAAAAUUCUAACAAAAUUUGAGAAAAUAUUAUAAAACUAAUUAAAAUAAAAUUUUUUAAAAUAUAUAAAAUUAAUAAUUUAUUAAUUAAGAAAUAAAUUAAGAUUAAAAUAGAUUUUUGUUCUGUUAUUUAGAUACUUUAGAUCUAAUUAAUAAAAUAUAUAUAAUUUUAAUAAAAAAUGUAUGUUUCAAAGUUUUGAGUGAAAUGUAUUGAGCGAAGAGAUAUUCCAAACUAAUUAUGUAAAAGUCUGAAGAGGCAAAUUUAAUUUCAAUCUUAACUGAAAGUAGAUUGAACUAGAAGAAGACGAUCAUGUCUUGACCUUUCGGAAAAUCUCGUUUCCACUGUUAAUGAGGGGCCAAGAGUUCAACAAUCUCACUUAGAUGUUACGAAGCACCGAAAGAUAUACAGAUUUAAAAAAAUUUGAUUUAAAAAAUAGUUGCAAAUAAAAAUGAAAGAAAAGUUCACGCGGCACCUAUAUCUUAUCUUCCGGGCAAAAUUAAAAAUUAAUUAGACUUCUAGGUUGACGUACCUCGAACACUUCUCAAGUUUCAAAAGCAAUCGCAUUAUCGUACGCUGCAUAAAGCGCGAUGAUAAUCGGAGACAUGAUUCUAUACUUCGUAACUUCAUAAUAUUUUCACAACGUUAUUAGUGUUCUACAAGUUUCCCCAUUCCGGAUUGCGACUCCUCUCCGUCACGUUUCCGAUUUCAUGAGUGGAAUCGCGUUUCCGUGUUAUCCUAAAUAUCCCCGGAAACUCGAUAGCGUAGUUGGACAAUGGAAUAGAGUCCCGAUGGAAAUACGAGAAAGAAGAGAGAAGUGAAUUCCAGCUGCACGGGGCUGCGCCGAAUUCGUGUAACAGUCGCGAAUAAGUUCGAACUGUCUUGUAACAUCGACCGUCCGUUCUAUCGAGCUGUCUCUCUUCAUUCCCCCUGUGCUCUCGCUUCUAGAUUUAUUGAAAUUUUAUGCGGUAUCCCGAUGAGGUCCGACUCGAAAGUUUUAUCGACGGCCGCUAUGGGUGGUCGGCCCUUAUAUUACGCGGGGGAAAAAAAAAAAGAGAGCGAGGGCCGGCUUCUAUUUCGCUUGAAGCUUAUAUUCCAUUUUCCUGCGUUCCAGAGAAAAAGAGAAAGAGACUCGCGGAUAUCUCGGGUGGUCGAAAUGAAAAAAAAUAAAAACCCUAUAGAAGGCUACUUUCUGAUUCAUACGAUCGCGGGGUUACGUAUUUUUUGUUCUUUUUUUUUUUACCGGAAUUAUAUUGAGAUAAUU